GCGAAACUGGCCUUCUUCCUUGAGAAGAAGAUCGAUCGUCACGUUUCUUAGAUUGAUCGCCAUUCUCUCUUGUGCAUUCGAUAUCCUGUGACUACUUCUACAGUCGAACCCUAAUUUCACAUGAUCUCCACCGCAACACUUUGUAGACGGCGGCUAAUGAUGAGAGGGAGAAAGGCGGACUGUUGAAGUUGACAUCCUUGAUGAGAACAAG